GAUACGCGAGGAACCUUACCAAGGUUUAAAUGUAUUCCGAAUAAGCUGGAAACAACUUAGUCUAUAAGGACGUAUACAAGGUGCUGCAUGGUUGUCUUCAGUUCGUGCUGUGAAGUGUUUGGUUAAGUCCUAUAACGAGCGCAACCCCUAUUGUUAGUUGCCAUCGGGUAAGGCCGGGGACUCUAACAAGACUGCCGGUGCGAAUCGAGAGGAAGGUGGGGAUAAUGUCAAACCAUCAUGGCCUUUAUGCCUUGGGCUACACACGUGCUACAAUGGCAGGUACAAAGGGGAGCCACUGGGUGACCAGGAGCUAAUCUCUAAAACCAGCCUAAGUUCGGAUUGGAGUCUGCAACUUGACUCUAUGAAGUUGGAAUCGCUAGUAAUCGUGCAUCAGCAAUGGCGCGGUGAAUACGUUCUCGGAACUUGCACACACCGCCCGUCAAGCCAGAGAAGUCGGGUAUACCUGAAGUUAGCAACCCUUUUUUUUAAGGGCCUGCCUAAGGUAAAAUUGAUGACUAGGGCUAAGUCGUAACAAGGUAACCA
rnacentral:rRNA from 1 species